rnacentral:rRNA from 1 species
AACGCGAAGAACCUUACCUGGGCUCGAAGCGCAGUGGACCGGGGUAGAAAUAUCCCUUCCCCUUAAAAGGCUGCUGCGGAGGUGCUGCAUGGCUGUCGUCAGCUCGUGUCGUGAGAUGUUGGGUUAAGUCCCGCAACGAGCGCAACCCUUAUCCCUAGUUGCCAUCGGGUCAAGCCGGGCACUCUAGUGAAACCGCUUCGGAUAACGGAGAGGAAGGUGGGGAUGACGUCAAGUCCUCAUGGCCUUUAUGUCCAGGGCUACACACGUGCUACAAUGGCCGGUACAAACCGUCCCAAACCCGCGAGGGGGAGGCAAUCGGAAAAAGCCGGCCUCAGUUCGGAUUGGAGUCUGCAACUCGACUCCAUGAAGCUGGAAUCGCUAGUAAUCGCGGAUCAGAACGCCGCGGUGAAUACGUUCCCGGGCCUUGUACACACCGCUACAGU